GCCCUUCGGAGAUGCUUUCACUGUUGUGCGACGCCAUGCACACCGCGUCGACUGCAAGGUCGACUCAUUGGAGCAACAGCCGGGAAUCAGCCCUAAGGUGCGGGUACAGUCUGGCGAUUCCCAAGACGGCCUUGUUGGUACUUGUGCAGCGUCUUGGCGUGCACCGAUCCUUCGGACACGUCGUCCGGAAGCAAGGGCGAGUGGGCGAAGCAGCGCCACAGCUUCU